AGUGAACGCUGGCGGCGUGCUUAACACAUGCAAGUCGAACGAGAACGGAUCAUAGCUUGCUAUAAUUGUCAGCUAAGUGGCGCACGGGUGAGUAAUAUAUAGAUAACCUGCCCUCUAAAAAGGAAUAACAGUUGGAAACGACUGCUAAUGCCCUAUAUGCCUUUAAUACAUAAGUAUGCAAGGGAAACGCUUUAGUGCUAGAGGAUGGGUCUGUAUGGUAUCAGCUUGUUGGUGAGGUAAUGGCUCACCAAGGCUAUGACGCCUAACUGGUUUGAGAGGAUGAUCAGUCACACUGGAACUGAGACACGGUCCAGACUCCUACGGGAGGCAGCAGUGGGGAAUAUUGCACAAUGGACGAAAGUCUGAUGCAGCAACGCCGCGUGGAGGAUGACACAUUUCGGUGCGUAAACUCCUUUUAUAUAGGAAGAUAAUGACGGUACUAUAUGAAUAAGCACCGGCUAACUCCGUGCCAGCAGCCGCCGUAACAC
rnacentral:rRNA from 1 species